UGCUGCUUCUUUCUUAUUCAUUCCGAUCGAAUGCAGCAUGCGUACGUACGUUGUUGUAUAUGCGUAUCGAUCAUAUGGUUGCUGCAAGUAAUACCGCUAACGAGAUUAAUCUAUAGCUGUUAGCUUUGCAUUGAGCUCGGCUUAAUUUCUGAUCUAGAUCCACCUGAUCAUCCCAUGCCAGUUGCAUGCCUCGAAGCUCAUCGAUUGAAUUGAAUCAAUGCGUCGAUCGGUUACUUGGCGCGCGACUUGAUAAAAAAGCUUCGCAGUCAUGAUGUUCUUUCUCUUCCCCACAACUUGGGCCGAUCUGCAUGUUCUUCAUAAUUAGUACGCAAAGCAUGCACCGUGGAGUACGGCAUGAUGUUCAGAAUUAGGUGUAGACGCAACACUAGCGAGCAUGUAUAUAUAUCUAAUUUGUUUCUGCAACAUCUGGAAGCUUUGAUCUUCAUCAUAAUCUAAUUUGAUCAAAAGGUGCACUAAACCUGAAGUACGUUGAAGAAUAAUUAUGAGGAAUAUUGAUUCGGCCGGAUCACACAGACUUCCAGCCAGUAAAGUCAUGCCACAUGGCGAAACAGUCUCCUUCCUAGACAGUGUAAUAAGGACUAGGAGUAGGAGCGGAGGCAUCCUAAUUCUCACUGUCGUCUUCUUAGAGACAAGCCGAUUUUACGUACCUUCCACCCGGUCUCUCUGAGCAUCCGAACUUUCGGCGUUCCAUCCCGGUAAAUGGCCGAUUACGAGCCGCUAAGGGAUGUCGAAGAGCAACUUCAGACCAACAGGAGAGCCACGCGUGUCGCCUCCCUGGAUGUCUUUCGCGGCCUCUGCGUCUUCCUCAUGAUGCUAGUUGAUUAUGGAGGGUCGGUUUUCCCCGUAAUUUCUCAUUCCCCGUGGGAUGGCAUUCACUUGGCUGAUUUUGUGAUGCCUUUCUUUCUUUUCAUUGCUGGGCUUUCUCCUGCUCUUGCGUACAAGAAAGUACCCAACAGAGCAGAGGCUACAUGGAAAGCAGUGCUUAGGGCAGUGAAGCUUUUUCUUCUGGGAGUUCUUCUUCAAGGUGGUUAUCUGCAUGGAGUCAAUUCGCUGACAUAUGGUGUUGACAUCGAAAAAAUAAGGUGGAUGGGCGUUUUGCAGAGGAUAUCUAUUGGAUACAUUGUUGCGGCUUUAUGUGAGAUCUGGCUUACAUGUCGGACGUGGAGGCAAGGAGGUUUCUUUAAGAGUUACUUCUGGCAUUGGUGCAUUGCAUUUUCACUUUCAGCAGUAUACAUGCUGCUAUUGUAUGGUCUAUAUGUUCCAAAUUGGCAAUUCACAGCACCAGCCUUGGCAUCUUCUUUGUCUCCAUCAAAUGAUAGCAAUGUUUACAUGGUGAGAUGUGCAGUGAGAGGUGAUCUUGGACCUGCCUGUAAUUCUGCUGGAAUGAUCGACCGCUAUAUUCUAGGUGUUGAUCAUCUAUAUAUGAAACCUACUUACAGGAACCUGAAGGUAUCUGAGUGCAAAAUAUCCGAUGGCCAAGAGUGUUCACCUCCAUGGUGUGAUGCUCCUUUUGAUCCUGAAGGUAUCUUAAGCUCCUUAACAGCAGCUGUGACUUGCAUUUUUGGACUUCAAUAUGGACACAUUCUUGCUGACUUACAGGACCACAGGGGGCGCUUAACUAAAUGGUCCUUGUUAUCAAUUUCUUCGUUUAUCCUUGGACUGUUGCUUGCUUUCACAGGCAUCCCUGUGAAUAAAUCUCUGUAUACAGUCAGUUAUAUGUUGAUUACUUCUGCAUCUGCGGGGAUCACAUUUUGUGCUUUAUACUUGUUGGUAGAUGUUUACGGUUACAGACGCUUAACAUCUGUGUUGGAGUGGAUGGGAAUGCAUUCUUUGAGCAUCUUUGUUCUCAUAACUUCUAACUUAGCUAUCAUUGCCAUUCAAGGAUUCUACUGGACUGCUCCCGAAAAUAAUAUUGUCCACUGGAUCAUAUCACGUCUCGUGCACGCAUGACAAGGGCAUCAACUUCCUGUCUGUUGGUUAAGCUUUUGGAUCUAUCCUUAAUCAGAUAUUACGCAUGACAUGUAUCUUUUGUGUUACUCUUCAUGAUGCUUAAAAUAAUUCUUUUGUUGCUUUCCAGUUUUACGGUAAUAAUCAUGGAGGUUAGAAAAGAUGGUAGAAAAAAGAGAACUCUAGUUGGUGUAGCCAAUCAAUCUUGUUGCAGACUGUUGUGAUUCUUUAUUAUUCAACCGGUCCGCCGCUGUUUCUGGGGGGAAAAGAAAACAAGUUAAUUCUUCGGAGACUGGGAAGCCAAAUUGGAAGUCAGACCUAUAACCGGACUAGUUACCUGAAGUUGGGGAAUGAAAGGGGAGGCUCCUGAGACAAUGCAUUGCACUUACUUCUUACUGCCUGAAAAGCAGCCUGGAGUCUGUCUACACAUCGGGUUAGUUUCUGUAGCAGAGUAACUGAAGGAGUACAAAAUGCAGCUCAAAAGUGAAACUUGUCAGAUUCAUACUGAACAUGAUUGUGGUGGACCUCAUUGUCCAUAGCUAGAGCUCAAUCGAUGGCAUCCAACAGCUUUUACAAUUUCCCCACCCGCCGAAGAAAAACCGAUCGAGUUUGUAAGUCUGAAAGAAAGAGUUGCGUUUGGGACAAGUUGGAAGUUAGAAGAGUCGUUGGUGUUUUAAUCUAUACUAAAACAUUAAUCAUUUCCCGACAUAACUGAUGCGAAAAGGUUUUACA